rnacentral:rRNA from 1 species
CCCUUCGGGAAUUCCGAGACAGGUGCUGCAUGGCUGUCGUCAGCUCGUGCCGUGAGGUGUUGGGUUAAGUCCCGCAACGAGCGCAACCCUAUUGCCAGUUGCUACCAGGUAAUGCUGGGCACUCUGGUGAGACUGCCCCGGUUAACGGGGAGGAAGGUGGGGACGACGUCAAGUCAUCAUGGCCCUUACGCCUAGGGCUACACACGUACUACAAUGGCGCAUACAAAGGGCAGCGAUACCGCGAGGUGGAGCCAAUCCCAAAAAGUGCGUCCCAGUCCGGAUUGCAGUCUGCAACUCGACUGCAUGAAGUUGGAAUCGCUAGUAAUUCGAGAUCAGCAUGCUCGGGUGAAUGCGUUCCCGGGCCUU